UAAUAUAUCGGAACGUACCCUGGAGUGGGGAUAACGUAGCGAAAGUUACGCUAAUACCGCAUACGAUCUAAGGAUGAAAGUGGGGGAUCGCAAGACCUCAUGCUCCUGGAGCGGCCGAUAUCUGAUUAGCUAGUUGGUGGGGUAAAGGCCCACCAAGGCUUUGAUCAGUAGCUGGUCUGAGAGGACGACCAGCCACACUGGAACUGAGACACGGUCCAG
rnacentral:rRNA from 1 species